UAAUAGUGUAUAUUAAAGUUGUUGCAGUUAAAAAGCUCGUAGUUGAAUGUUGGUGUCGAACGAGCGGUCAGCUUCGGCUGUACUGCUCUCUCGACUCCUUCCUUCUGUGGACUACGUCGCACUUUACUGUGUGGCGCUAGGACGCAGAUCGUUUACUGUGAAAAAAUUAGAGUGUUCAAAGCAGGCCGUACGCUUGAAUACAUUAGCAUGGAAUAAUGGAAUAGGACGUCGGGCCUAUUUUGUUGGUUCUAGGACCGUCGUAAUGAUUAAUAGGGACAGUUGGGGCCGCUUAUAUUCCGUAGUCAGAGGUGAAAUUCUUGGAUUUACGGAAGAUAAACUACUGCGAAAGCAUUCGGCAAGGAUGUUUUCGUUAA
rnacentral:rRNA from 1 species